CACGUAGGGAGCAAGCGUUGUCCGGAUUUAUUGGGCGUAAAGAGCUCGUAGGUGGUUCGGUAAGUCAGGUGUGAAACCUCCAGGCUCAACCUGGAGACGCCACUUGAUACUGCUGUGACUGGAGUCCGGUAGGGGAGCGUGGAAUUCCUGGUGUAGCGGUGAAAUGCGCAGACAUCAGGAGGAACACCAGCGGCGAAGGCGGCGCUCUGGGCCGGUACUGACACUGAGGAGCGAAAGCGUGGGUAGCAAACAGG
rnacentral:rRNA from 1 species